rnacentral:lncRNA from 1 species
UAUUUCAUUCCGCUCCACUGUUUUAGCAAGCUUCGUAGUCUCACUGGGAGACCCAAAAUGAAGAGCGUGAUGGUAUGGACUCGAGGCGUUGAAAAUUGGUUUUGGAACGUAUUGUUGGGCAUCGGGGACUGAUGGCGGAGGACACCCACUGGCCCAAGCUUUGUGCAUUCGGACUAUUUGCCUUUUCAACCUCAAAACCUCUUCUUUCGACUCAGAUCUGAUUCAACAAUUCCCCUAGACGGAUCGGUAAUACCUGUGUUCAACCCUUUGCCAGCCAUGACUGCCUUACUUUUCGACCUUGUGUUGUAUGGAUGAGUUACCACAAGCCAACCACCUCAACUUUCUUCACAAUUCAAAAAUAAACAUGUUAGAAUGGAUUGAGUCGGUCCUCAUCAUCAACAACAUCUUUUCACAUUUAUUGUUCAAUUCUUCUUUUUAUUUUUUUAUUUUUCAUUUUUCUUUUGCUUUUCUUCCUUUUUUAUUUCUUUUUUUUAGUUGUGGUUGAAUCUUAUAAGGAUUGCCUACGUAUCAUGACCCCGAAUGAAUCAGACCGUGCGUAGGUGUUGCAAAUAAAAGGUAAACGAUAGUAAAAUACUUUUGAACUUUUCCAUUUUCAUAAUAACAACAAAACUGACCGACUAAACGACGAAAUACAGACUCAACAAUCAAACGACCCAUAUACUCUAAUCAAAAGAAAUAAACCCAAAAGCAAAAUGACAGAUUCCUUCCCCUGUAUGCCAAUUUUGACCCUAAAUACGAACGGUAUUCGCUUGACCAUUGACUCUUUUUUUUCAAAUUAAAAUAAAUAACCUGGUAUUGCAAACACGGCCUUUCAGCGCCUCGGGGACGAAGAUUUUAAGGUUGUGAGGGUAAAAAAUCAAAAUAUGACCAAAGACGGCCGUUUUUGCAAAGUUGCCUUCCGGCGUUCCUUUGAGGAACAUUCGGCUAUUUAUGACAAAACGGCCUCACCCGACUUAUUUAUGACUCAUUUUUUCAUUUUUUUUUCAAAUUAAAAUAAACGACCCGGUAUUGCAAACACGGUCUUCCAUCACCUCGGGGACGAAGAUUUUAAGGUUGUUGGGUCGAAAAUCAAAACAUGACCAAAGAUGGCCAUUUAUGCAAGGUCAGCCUUCCGGCGUCCCCUUUGGGAACAUUUGGCUAUUUUUGAAAAAAUGGCAUCACCUGACUUAUUUAUGAGGCAAAUAAAUUUUUUGACAUUUUUUGGCUACUUUUGCAAAGGGGAGGUUGGACCCGAUGAGGGUUGCCUACGUAUCUCACGCCCUGUGAGAAUCAAACCAUGCGUAGUUCGGGCAGAUUAACCGAACUAUUUUAAAAGUGGACUCUUUUGUUUCAUUUUCAUUAUUGGCAUUUCAUAAGCAGAUAAAAAAACUACUGUUACAAACAAGACUCUUUUUUUUUUCUUUUUCAACAAACAAAUAAGAAACUCUUUUUCUUUUCUUUUUUUUUUAAUUUUCUAUAGCAAAACAAACUAUUUUUCUCUUUUUCAUUUUCGAAAACAAGACUAAGAUAAACGACUCUUUUUCCUUUUUUUAUUUUUCAUGGCAAAACAAACUAUUUUUCUGUUUCUAUUUUUGAAAACAAGACAAAACAAACGUUUUUUUUUCUUUUCAUGUUCAACAAACAACCUAUUUCCCAAACUAAAAAUAAAAACUCUUUUUUUUAUUUUUCAACAAAUAAUAAAACAACCUAUUUCCAAACUAAAAAUAAAGACUCUUUUCUUUUCUAUUUUCAAUAAAAACAACCUAUUUUUCUAUUGGCAAAUUAAACUAUUUUGAAAUAAGAAAAACAAAAAUCAAGACUCUUUUUUUCUUUUCAUUUUUCGUUGCAAAACAAACUAUUUUUCCUUUUCUCUUUUUGAAAACAAGACAAAUUAACGACUUUUUUUUUCUUUCCAUUUUUAACAAACAACCUAUAUACCCCAAAAUAAAGACUCUUUUCUUUUUCUUUUCAGCAAACAAUUUUCAAAAAUAAUUUAUUUUUUUUUUGGUUUUUUAGCAAGCAAACUACUAAAAAUAAAACAUCUUUUUUUUAUUUUUUCAAAAUCUCGGCAGAGAUAGUACUUGGGCAUUGAUUUUUUCCAAAACAAUCAGUUAACUAUCCAACUGUUAUUUUUCUAUUUUCCACUUCUUCUUUUUUAAAUUUUCUAACAUUUACGAGAUUCAAAAGCCAGUCAACAUGCAGGUUUGACACAAAUAAAUGCACAGAACACAAGUAGGAUGCAUCAAGAUGGUCUUUUUCAUUUCAAGUUGCUAGCCCUAGACGGACCCAGCCCCCGUGUUGAGUCCCCUAAGUCAAAAUGCACAUGAUGCAAAUAAGCGUUCCUACUAGGGAUCCGACAUCAGACUUAGUUAUUCUAGGUUUAGAACCUAGGUGUUUGUUCUAGACCUGAUCCGGCAUGAGGCUGAGUUAUUUUAGGUUCAAAACUUGGGUGUUUGUUCGAGACAUGGCUUACCCGAGCGGACAGCUCGAGACGAGGGGGAGGCGGCAAUCCAGGAAUACAGAAGCUUCGUCGUCUUUGCGACUUAUCCAAACCUCGUUCUAAAUUGGGAUUUGACACUAUACAAAAAAGAAGUCGUACGAAGUACACCCUUCUUCAUGAUUCAGAAGACUCAGAUAGGAGAUGGGUUAUGGUACAGUUUAUAUACAGUUCACAUAAUAUCAAAGCGGUAAAAGGCAAUCAAUUAGCACAUUAGGCACAUAUCAUGUAACAAAAUCAAACAAAGCCAAGCACAACAAUUAUUCCAAGCUCAAAUUCUAAACUCUGAACAAAACGUUCUGGGUUCUUUUCCCCAGCAGAGUCGCCAGAGCUGUCACACCUCCUUUUUCGCUAUACACCCCCGCAAAGGGGCGUAAAAGAGUUUUUCCAAUUAAAGGACAAUUGGAAUGGGAUUUAUUUAUUAAGAUUUCAGAGUCGCCACUUGGGAUAUUAAUGGUGUCCCAAGUCAUCGAUUGAAUCCCGAACCGAGGAAAAAGAUGACUCUGUUAACAGUCCACGAACCAGAAAUCCGGAUAAGGAAUUCUGUUUACCCAGGAGAAGGUGUUAGGCAUUCCCGAGUUCCGUGGUUCUAGCACGGUCGCUCAACUGUUGCAUUUAGCUUUUAAUUGACUUUAUUACAUGAAGAACCUAUGUAGCAAUUUUUACUUUUUUACCGUUUUUAUUUAAUAUAUAUUUAUUCGAGAAAGUGAACGUCGUUUAAAGUGCAUUUCGGAUUGCAUCGCAUCAAAUGAACCCACAAUCCUAGACAUACUCUAUUCAACGUUUUAGGAUUUGGAUUUGGGCCGCAUAAAAUGCUCACCUUUUUUUAGGAAUGUAGUUUAUUAAAGUCGUGACUAAUAGAGGCUAACGCGUCGUAAUUUUUUGGGAGGGCCUUGAAAUUCGCUAAACGGCCUUCCAAUUUUCUAAAUAUUUUUAGAACCUUUUAUUGAGGGCCCCGCAAUUUCGCAUUUUAUUGGACGAGGCUCCUCUCAUUUUAUUUUAAUGGAUAAACUUAAAAGAUAACUAUGUUUUCUAUUUUUAUUUUUAUCUCUAAAAGAAAGAAAAAAAUUCCUAAUUGAUUAUUAUGAGAACUCGGGUUUCAAGUUCAAGUCUGGGUUCAAAUAAAAGGACGAACCUUUUAAUUUAAAACCUUCUACCUAACUCAAAACCCGAAUUUUAUAUAACAAUUUAACCUUGAAUUGCAUCCUAGAAAUAGGCCCAAGCUAACUGAAUAACUCAUUUUAAAAAUGGCCCAACGUGAGGCCCAGAGCUUAAUUUGCAACAAGCACAAACACCUAAGGCCUGGAACGAGUUACAUGAAUAGGCCCAGUUCAGAACAGAAUAUUUCCAACGAAAUGCGUUUUGAAUUUUGCUUUCAACUAUUAAACGCUCAAGAGCUGUCACACCUCCUUUUUACACACCUACCCCGAAGGAUAAUGUAUAAGGGAGUUUUUCCAUUUAAAGUGAUAUUAUUCGGAUCGGGAUUAUUUAUUUAUCAGAGUCGCCACUUAGGAAAGGUUUGGCUUUUGGUGUCCCAAGUCACCGGCUUAGCUUGAAUCUCAAUUCGAGAAAAAUGUUCGAGUUCCCAAUUGGAGUCUGCGAACCACAAAUUCUGAAUAAGGAAUUCUGUUGACCCGAGGGAAGGUGUUAGGCACCCUCGGAUCCCGUGGUUCUAGCACGGUCGCUUAAAAUGCUAUGAAUGAAUAUCACCGGCUUAGCUUGAAUCUCAAUUCGAGAAAAAUGUUCGAGUUCCCAAUUGGAGUCUGCGAACCACAAAUUCUGAAUAAGGAAUUCUGUUGACCCGAGGGAAGGUGUUAGGCACCCUCGGAUCCCGUGGUUCUAGUACGGUCGCUUAAAAUGCUAUGAAUGAAUAAAAUCUGAUUUUAAUACAUGAAAUGCCUAUGUGCCAAUUUUAUUUUUAAUCACUUUUAUUAAUUAUAUAUUUAUUUAAGAGAAAGUGAACGUCGUUUAAAGUGUGUUUUCGAAUUGCGCCACAUCAAAUGAACCCGCAAUCUUAUGCACACUCUAUUCAAUGUUUUAGGAUUUGGAUUUUGGACGCAUAAAAUACCCACCCAUAUUUAAGAAUGUAAUUUAUUAAAGUCACGUCUAAUGGUAAAAUACUAAAUGUAUAUGAGACAGCACCAUUCAUUAUGCAAGAAUAACUAUUCCUUCACAGAAAUGAAAAUCCCUAAAGUGCAAUAACAUCUAAGCUUAAAUUUGAUCCUCUGAGAGCACAAUCCAUGUAAAAUGAGGAAAUAACCAAAUGACCACUCAAAUAAAAGAUGUCAUCACCAAAACACGGGAACUAGCUUAGCGUUCCGAAAAAUCAAGUUUGAAACAAUGUAGUUGACUGACUAUUCAUACUGUCAAGAAGAAGACGAAACGAGCAGCAGCAGUGGACUCAAAAUGAACUAAAACAUUAAUAGGAUCUGAAUACAUAACACUUGGAUCAUUCAAACACAAACACCUUUUCCUUGUAAAAAAUUAUGUGAAACCAAUGCUCAGAUUUGCCGUUUCAAUGCAUGUAUAACUAAUAUAGCAAAAUUGUUUAUAUCAAUGAUACCUAAAUUCCAAUAAAAGUCUCAUUUUAAUCAAUUUAACAAUACUCCGUUCAACAUUGCAACUAAAAUAAAUAAGUAAUGUUCUAAUACCAACAACAGAAACAAACUAGAAGACAAUCUCAUACUCGAGUAAUAACAAGUGAAAAAAGUUGGAAAAGAAAACAAAUAGAUAACAAACACAGAAUUACACCUCCAAAAUAUGAAAAUAUUUUAAGGAACACAUACCUAGCAGCACAAGGUUCAAAUUAAGAAAGGGGAAAAGAGCCGAGUAAAGGCCGACAUCAGAAAUCGGAGCUCAGCGGCCGGAAAAUAGUAGUUCCAAGCAGAAAAUACAGCAAAGAAACAAUUUCAAAUUCGCCUCAAACUCAGCUUGAAACCCAGAACAUGAUGAAGUGAAAUGACAGAAUUUAAGAAGCACUUUUGAAACCUCUUUUUUUUGUGGUUUUUUGUUUUCGAUUUUCCGGAGUGUUUUUGUUCCUCGGAUCCGAAAAUUUCUCUCAAAUUCAGACCCCUCUAAACGUGAGAGAGAGUGUGUGAAUCUAGAUGUAAUUAGUGAGAGAAUGUAUAGUUGAAGAUGGGUGAUGGAGAAGAGAGGAGCUGAGCCAAUUUUAGGGGGUCUAAGAUCUGAGUCCCCCUUCUCCUAGGUUUCCUAAUGUGUGUAUUAAUAGUAAGGGAUUUAGGGCUAAAGAUGGAGUAAUUGAUUUGAGGGGAUUUGGAUCUUAAAA